GUGGGGAAUCUUGCGCAAUGGGCGAAAGCCUGACGCAGCCAUGCCGCGUGAAUGAUGAAGGUCUUAGGAUUGUAAAAUCCUUUCACCGGUGAAGAUAAUGACUGUAGCCGGAGAAGAAGCCCCGGCUAACUUCGUGCCAGCAGCCGCGGUAAUACGAAGGGGGCUAGCGUUGCUCGGAUUUACUGGGCGUAAAGGGCGCGUAGGCGGACAUUUAAGUCAGGGGUGAAAUCCCGGGGCUCAACCUCGGAACUGCCUUUGAUACUGGGUGUCUUGAGUAUGAGAGAGGUGUGUGGAACUCCGAGUGUAGAGGUGAAAUUCGUAGAUAUUCGGAAGAACACCAGUGGCGAAGGCGACACACUGGCUCAUUACUGACGCUGAGGCGCGAAAGAGUGGGGAGCAAACAGGAUUAGAUACCCUUGUAGUCC
rnacentral:rRNA from 1 species